UGGGGCCAGCGGUUGUGCUGUCUUGGGUGCCCUUCUCCUGGGUCCUAAGGUGGGCUGCAGAGCUGAUUAGGCUCACUGCUGCAGGGCAGCUUCCCAGGGGCUCAACACGAGGCGCCCUCCACCCUCAGACUCUCCCGACCUUCUGCUCCUCGUGGCGGUGUGUCCACAAAUACCCUCAAAACCACCAGGAGCUGUGAUGGCCCCUUCUGAUCAGGUGGGUCAGCCACAGUCCCAGCUGGUGCUGUCUGUUCGAGACCGAGCAGCCUCUGUAAGAUGGAUGCCAGCGUUCUCCCUGCCCAGUGAAUUCAAGCAGCAGUGAAGAUCUGCCCAUAGAAUCCCCUACUUAAUUGCAGCUCACGCUGAAAAUCACUAGCUCAAGGCCUUCUCUCCUCAACUCUGUUGGAAGUCAUUGUGGGCAAGGGGCUCUUUUUGGUUUCCCCCGUGCCCAGUCCAGCGAUGGGCAAAUCCAGCACUUUGCCAUGUGUGGCAUCUGGUAGACUCUCAAUAAA